rnacentral:rRNA from 1 species
GAUGAACGCUGGCGGCGUGCCUAAUACAUGCAAGUCGAGCGAACGGACGAGAAGCUUGCUUCUCUGAUGUUAGCGGCGGACGGGUGAGUAACACGUGGAUAACCUACCUAUAAGACUGGGAUAACUUCGGGAAACCGUAGCUAAUACCGGAUAAUAUUUUGAACCGCAUGGUUCAAAAGUGAAAGACGGUCUUGCUGUCACUUAUAGAUGGAUCCGCGCUGCAUUAGCUAGUUGGUAAGGUAACGGCUUACCAAGGCAACGAUGCAUAGCCGACCUGAGAGAGUGAUCGGCCACACUGGAACUGAGACACGGUCCAGACUCCUACGGGAGGCAGCAGUAGGGAAUCUUCCGCAAUGGGCGAAGGCCUGACGGAGCAACGCCGCGUGAGUGAUGAAGGUCUUCGGAUCGUAAAACUCUGUUAUUAGGGAAGAACAUAUGUGUAAGUAACUGUGCACAUCUUGACGGUACCUAAUCAGAAAGCCACGGCUAACUACGUG